UUUAAGUGCAGUUAUGGGUUUCUAUGUCCAACAUUUGAUCAUUCGUCUUAUUUAAAAAUUUUUGUAUGAUUAGUAUUUUUAUUGUUAUUAGAUGAUAAAAUAUGAAUAUUACUUCAUGCGUGACAUAUUUUUUUUAGUUUUUCAUAAAUUUUUGAAAUAAAACGGAUGGGCAAACGUUGGACAUAGAAACCCAUAACUGCACUUAAA
rfam:Oryza meridionalis cultivar OR44 (W2112) chromosome 6, whole genome shotgun sequence.